AGGUAGUGCCUCAAGUAUUACCUGCGGGGGUAGAGCACUGUUUAGGCUAGGGGGUCAUGGCGACUUACCAAACCUAUGCAAACUCCGAAUACCGCAGAGUACAGCUUGGGAGACAGAGCACCGGGUGCUAACGUCCGGACUCAAGAGGGAAACAACCCAGACCGCCAGCUAAGGUCCCUAAAAUUGGCUAAGUGGGAAACGAAGUGGGAAGGCUAAAACAGUCAGGAUGUUGGCUUAGAAGCAGCCAUCAUUUAAAGAAAGCGUAAUAGCUCACUGAUCGAGUCGUCCUGCGCGGAAGAUGUAACGGGGCUAAGCCAGUUACCGAAGCUGCGGAUUUGCAAUUUAUUGCAAGUGGUAGGAGAGCGUUCUGUAAGCCUGUGAAGGUGCCUGGUAACGGGUGCUGGAGGUAUCAGAAGUGCGAAUGCUGACAUGAGUAGCGUUAAAGGGGGUGAAAAGCCCCCUCGCCGUAAGCGCAAGGUUUCCUACGCAACGUUCAUCGGCGUAGGGUGAGUCGGCCCCUAAGGCGAGGCAGAGAUGCGUAGCUGAUGGGAAACAGGUCAAUAUUCCUGUACCGAUGUGUAGUGCGAUGUGGGGACGGAGAAGGUUAGCUCAGCCAACUGUUGGAUAUGUUGGUUCAAGCCUGUAGUCGUGCCUGGUAGGCAAAUCCGCCGGGCUUAGAUGAGGGGUGAUAACGAGUCUGCUUGCAGACGAAGUGAGUGAUACCCUGCUUCCAGGAAAAGCCACUAAGCUUCAGCUACACACGACCGUACCGCAAACCGACACUGGUGCGCGAGAUGAGUAUUCUAAGGCGCUUGAGAGAACUCUGGAGAAGGAACUCGGCAAAUUGAUACCGUAACUUCGGGAGAAGGUAUGCCGCAAGUAGGUGAACUUGUACAAAGGGAGCCCAAAGCGGUUGCAAAAAAUCGGUGGCUGCGACUGUUUAAUAAAAACACAGCACUCUGCAAACACGAAAGUGGACGUAUAGGGUGUGACGCCUGCCCGGUGCUGGAAGAUUAAAUGAUGGGGUGCAAGCUCUUGAUUGAAGUCCCAGUAAACGGCGGCCGUAACUAUAACGGUCCUAAGGUAGCGAAAUUCCUUGUCGGGUAAGUUCCGACCUGCACGAAUGGCGUAACGAUGGCCACACUGUCUCCUCCAGAGACUCAGCGAAGUUGAAAUGUUUGUGAUGAUGCAAUCUCCCCGCGGAAAGACGGAAAGACCCCAUGAACCUUUACUGUAGCUUUGUAUUGGAUUUUGAACGGAUCUGUGUAGGAUAGGUGGGAGGCUUUGAAGUGAGGACGCUAGUUCUCAUGGAGCCGACGUUGAAAUACCACCCUGGUGCGUUUGAGGUUCUAACCCAGGUCCCUUAUCGGGAUCGGGGACAGUGCAUGGUAGGCAGUUUGACUGGGGCGGUCUCCUCCCAAAGCGUAACGGAGGAGUUCGAAGGUACGCUAGUUACGGUCGGACAUCGUGACGAUAGUGCAAUGGCAUAAGCGUGCUUAACUGCGAGACUGACAAGUCGAGCAGAUGCGAAAGCAGGACAUAGUGAUCCGGUGGUUCUGUAUGGAAGGGCCAUCGCUCAACGGAUAAAAGGUACUCUGGGGAUAACAGGCUGAUACCGCCCAAGAGUUCAUAUCGACGGCGGUGUUUGGCACCUCGAUGUCGGCUCAUCUCAUCCUGGGGCUGUAGUCGGUCCCAAGGGUAUGGCUGUUCGCCAUUUAAAGAGGUACGUGAGCUGGGUUUAAAACGUCGUGAGACAGUUUGGUCCCUAUCUUCCGUGGGCGCUGCAGAUUUGAGGAAGCCUGCUCCUAGUACGAGAGGACCGGAGUGGACACACCUCUGGUGUAUCGGUUGUCACGCCAGUGGCAUUGCCGAGUAGCUAAGUGUGGAAGAGAUAACCGCUGAAAGCAUCUAAGCGGGAAACUCGUUUCAAGAUGAGAUCUGCCGGGGCCUUGAGCCCCCUGAAGAGUCGUUCAAGACCAGGACGUUGAUAGGCUGGGUGUGGAAGCGCAGUAAUGCGUUAAGCUAACCAGUACUAAUUGCUCGUGAGGCUUGACCCU
rnacentral:rRNA from 1 species